ensembl:lncRNA
CGGCCACCACUUCGUUUUAUAUGUCUUUUAUUCGUGUUUCUAGGUCACAAAAUAAACUUUUAAGAUAUUUUCAGGCGAGAAUGUAGGUGUGUAAACUUCAAAUAUCUGCUCGUUUUAUCAAGACAUCCCAUAUUAGCGACAAUUCUCUUAAGUGUUGCUGAUAGCCGGCUAGCUAGCUAGCGCCGCUAGCUUAGCUAGCUAGCGCCCCUUCGUGAAAAACCACCCAGGCUUGGCUGAUAGUGAGGUGGCUAAAAUUUGUUUAAUCGCCCGAUCGCUCGGCAAGGGUCUGUGUCUUAGCUGGACUUAUUUUUCGUUUAUAUGGGCUGAUGAUGCUGGUCGAUGUGGAAAAAAAUAACUGAGUUGUUUGGUGGUGGAGCUACAACAGAG